AGGGUUUGAUCCUGGCUCAGAACGAACGCUGGCGGCGUGCCUAACACAUGCAAGUCGAACGGUAACAGGGACUUCGGUCUGCUGACGAGUGGCGCACGGGUGAGUAACGCGUGGAUAUCUACCUAUUAGUGGGGGACAACUUGUGGAAACGCAAGCUAAUACCGCAUAAUCACUACGGUGGAAAGCAGGGGACCUUCGGGCCUUGUGCUGAUAGAUGAGUCCGCGUCUGAUUAGCUAGUUGGUAGGGUAAAGGCCUACCAAGGCGAUGAUCAGUAUCUGGUUUGAGAGGAUGAUCAGACACACUGGAACUGAGACACGGUCCAGACUUCUACGGAAGGCAGCAGUGGGGAAUAUUGCACAAUGGAGGAAACUCUGAUGCAGCGACGCCGCGUGUGGGAAGAAGGCUUUCGGGUUGUAAACCACUUUCAAUUGGGAAGAAGGGAUGAGAGUUAAUAACUUUCUGACUUGACGGUACCUUUAGAAGAAGCACCGGCUAAUUUCGUGCCAGCAGCCGCGGUAAUACGAAAGGUGCAAGCGUUGUUCGGAUUUACUGGGCGUAAAGCGAGUGUAGGUUGUUUAUUAAGUCGGAUGUGAAAUCCCGGGGCUCAACCUCGGAACUGCAUUCGAUACUGAUAGGCUAGAGUUCGGGAGGGGUAAGCGGAAUUCCGUGUGUAGCAGUGAAAUGCGUAGAUAUACGGAGGAACACCUGAGGCGAAGGCGGCUUACUGGACCGAUACUGACACUGAGACUCGAAAGCGUGGGUAGCAAACAGGAUUAGAUACCCUGGUAGUCCACGCCCUAAACGAUGUCAACUAGCCGUUGCGGGUAUCGACCCCUGCAGUGGCGAAGCUAACGCGAUAAGUUGACCGCCUGGGGAGUACGGUCGCAAGAUUAAAACUCAAAGGAAUUGACGGGGGGCCG
rnacentral:rRNA from 1 species